AUGUUGUACGAAGGAGAUAAGGCUAACACUCCGCUUGACAAAAACGGCGGAGGCCUUUGGACCUGACAAUAUGCAUACAGUUGAGGAAUUGCUACCUGAAUCAUAGUAUCUAACCAUCAUUUUUA
ensembl:snRNA